rnacentral:rRNA from 1 species
AUUGAACGCUGGCGGCAGGCCUAACACAUGCAAGUCGAGCGGCGCGUCGGACGGGUGAUUAAUGCCUAGUAAUCUGCCUGGUAGUGGGGGAUAACGUCCGGAAACGUGCGCUAAUACCGCAUGCUAUCAGAUGAGCCUAGGUCGGAUUAGCUAGUUGGUGGGGUAAAGGCCUACCAAGGCGACGAUCCGUAACUGGUCUGAGAGGAUGAUCAGUCACACUGGAACUGAGACACGGUCCAGACUCCUACGGGAGGCAGCAGUGGGGAAUAUUGGACAAUGGGCGAAAGACUGAUCCAGCCAUGCCGCGUGAGUGAAGAAGGUCUUCGGAUUGUAAAGCACUUUAAGUUGGGAGGCGUUACCAACAGAAUAAGCACCGGCUAACUUCGUGCCAGCAGCCGCGGUAAUAC